rnacentral:rRNA from 1 species
GACGAACGCUGGCGGCGUGCCUAAUACAUGCAAGUAGGACGCAGUUGCGAACGGGUGAGUAACGCGUAGGUAACUACCUAUUAGAGGGGGCUAACUAUUGGAAACGAUAGCAAAUACCGCAUACUAGUUGAUGGACCUGCGUUGUAUUAGCGAGUAGGUAGGGUAAUGGCCGACCUAGGCCACGAUACCUAGCCGACCUUGGAGGGGGAGCGGCCAAAAUGGGACUGAGACACGGCCCAGACUCCUACGGGAGGCAGCAGUAGGCAUGCAUCGGCAAUGGGGGGAACCCUGACCGAGCAACGACGAGUGAGUGAAGAAGGUUUUCGGAUAGUAAAGCUCUGUUGUUAAGGAAGCGGUACUUAACCAGAAAGGGACGGCUAACUACGUGCCAGCAGCCGCGGUAAUUC